GAGGGUACAGCUCAGUGGUAGAGCACAUGCUUAGCAUGCAUGAGGUCCUGGGUUCAGUCCCCACUACCUCCU
rnacentral:tRNA from 1 species